AUUUAUUGCAGUUCUUUUCGCCCUUGUUGCUUGCGUGUGCCGGCGUAGAGAGGAUGUGAGCAAGAGAGAGAGACUGAGGAGGCGACACAAAGGAGGUGAGCACUAGAAAUUCUGACUGACUAAAAAGAUGAUUGCAUGGCACAAAGGAUUUUUCGGGCAGAGGAUACAUUCAGACGGUCCAGGCCAGGCCUUGGAAAAGGUGGUGGCGGAUGUGCCCGGCUGCCCGGGGCUGGCACCAUGGUCAUCGUGCCAGCGGUCCACGCAGCGGCGCCGUGCAUUCAUGAAGAAGUUGCUGACGGUGCUGAGCUCCAGGCCAAGCUGCUGGGAGAUGGUGAUCUGCAUUUCCUUGGAUGGACGCUUGUUCUCCUUGAAGAUGGCGAUGAGUGUGCGGCGC